rnacentral:tRNA from 1 species
AGGAUUAUAAUUUAAAUUAAAAUAUUUGAUUUGCAUUCAAAAAAUAUUGAAUAAUCAAUUUAUCUU